GACAGAGGUGCCGAGCGUUAGGCGGAAUCACUGGGCUUAAAGCGUGUGUAGGCGGACUUGUAAGUACCUUGUGAAAUCCCACAGCUCAACUGUGGAACUGCUUGGUAUACUGCUUGUCUUGAGCCACUUAGGGGCAGUCGGAACAGACGGUGGAGCGGUGAAAUGCGUAGAUAUCGUCUGGAACGCCAAAGGUGAAAACAGACUGCUGGGAGUGUGCUGACGCUGAGGCGCGAAAGCUAGGGGAGCAAACGGG
rnacentral:rRNA from 1 species